ACCAGUGUGGCAUAGUGGUUUGAAUGCUGGACUACAACUCUGGAGGUCAGUGUUCGAAUCCCUGCUUGAGCA